CACACAUGGCAUGGGUGUUGCCUAGGGACAACUAGUGGUGGCACAAGGUGAACUGCCCCUAGUUGUCCCCUGGGAAUCAAAUGUCCACACACAUCUGGAUGUGGCCCU